rnacentral:lncRNA from 1 species
AUUACUUUUAUUACUAUUAUUAAUAUUAUUAAAGAAGGAGAACACAGAAGGGCAUGGACGGUAGCAGUAGUGGCAAAGGGUGGGGCGAUAGGAUGGAACGGCAACGGCGGUAGGUGGUAGGGUGGCGGCAGCAAGCGAGUGGUGAGAAAACGAAAGAAGGGAGGAGAGGGAUGGAAAGAGGGGAGGGAGAAAGAGAUAGGACGAGGAGAAGAAGUGCGCAGUGAUAGUGGGAA